rnacentral:lncRNA from 1 species
ACGUAUUCAGAUAAAACCUUUAGCUUAGCUUUCAUGUGGAAUAGCAGCAAUCGAACGCUUAUAAUUUCGCACAUAUACAAAAGUGCUACUAUUACCCUCACGCACAACAGUUCUACCCCGUGACUCAAACUGGAAGCAGGGUCAAUAAAGCACUUAUCUUUCUAUUCUUCAGAGCGAGUUGAGAUAACACAUUUUGUCGCAAUCGCGGAGGCAAGGUUGCCAAAGGCAUGGCCGUCUCCACUUCGGCGGACGGCUCCCCGUUGCAGAUAUCGCUCGAACGAUUGACCGCAAGUCCAGCUGAAUAUGCCUUCCCGCAGCAAGCUGUGGCUCGAUCUGGGACGUACCUGCAACUUGAGCCUCGGAAAUCUGGGAAUGGUAGGAGGGCCUUCUCAUCAGCAUAAGAGGUGUCGCUUUGCUGGACUUGGCUGAGAUAUAUGGAACAAGCAUCGCAAGCAUAUCCUACCUUAUCACCACUUUCGGCGUGGGCAAUCUCAUCGGCUCUCUACUUGGAGGCAAGCUACAUGACACGUACAACACGCAGUUGGUCUCAAUCUUGGCAAUGGCAGCGACCUGCGUCACAGCCACCAUGAUUCCACUCAGUGG